GACGAACGCUGGCGGCGUGCCUAAUACAUGCAAGUUGAGCGCUGAAGGUUGGUACUUGUACCGACUGGAUGAGCAGCGAACGGGUGAGUAACGCGUGGGGAAUCUGCCUUUGAGCGGGGGACAACAUUUGGAAACGAAUGCUAAUACCGCAUAAAAACUUUAAACACAAGUUUUAAGUUUGAAAGAUGCAACUGCAUCACUCAAAGAUGAUCCCGCGUUGUAUUAGCUAGUUGGUGAGGUAAAGGCUCACCAAGGCGAUGAUACAUAGCCGACCUGAGAGGGUGAUCGGCCACAUUGGGACUGAGACACGGCCCAAACUCCUACGGGAGGCAGCAGUAGGGAAUCUUCGGCAAUGGACGAAAGUCUGACCGAGCAACGCCGCGUGAGGGAAGAAGGUUUUCGGAUCGUAAAACUCUGUUGGUAGAGAAGAACGUUGGUGAGAGUGGAAAGCUCAUCAAGUGACGGUAACUACCCAGAAAGGGACGGCUAACUACGUG
rnacentral:rRNA from 1 species